CCAAUUAGCUUGAGGAAAACGUUCACUCUUGCUUAUGUGAAGCUUGGGUUGUGAAUAAAUAAUUGGAGCUUGAAAUUGUGAAUACUGAAACUUGGAAGAAGCGGAUUAGUUGAGAUUUUAAGGGCUGUGUUCUUUUAGGAAAAUU